ACUGAACGCUGGCGGCAGGCCUAACACAUGCAAGUCGAGCGGAUGAAGGGAGCUUGCUCCUGGAUUCAGCGGCGGACGGGUGAGUAAUGCCUAGGAAUCUGCCUGGUAGUGGGGGAUAACGUCCGGAAACGGGCGCUAAUACCGCAUACGUCCUGAGGGAGAAAGUGGGGGAUCUUCGGACCUCACGCUAUCAGAUGAGCCUAGGUCGGAUUAGCUAGUUGGUGGGGUAAAGGCCUACCAAGGCGACGAUCCGUAACUGGUCUGAGAGGAUGAUCAGUCACACUGGAACGGAGACACGGUCCGGACUCCUACGGGAGGCAGCAGGGGGGAAUUUUGGACAAGGGGCGAAAGCCGGAUCCAGCCAUGCGGCGUGUGUGAAGAAGGUCUUCGGAUUGUAAAGCACUUUAAGUUGGGAGGAAGGGCAGUAAGUUAAUACCUUGUUGUUUUGACGUUACCAAAAAAAAAAGCCCCGCCUAACUUCGUC
rnacentral:rRNA from 1 species